CAGAGACUGCAAGCGUUAUUCGGAUUCACUGGGCGUAAAGGGUGCGCAGGCGGCCAAGUGUGUUAGGCGUGAAAGCCCGGGGCUUAACUCCGGAAUUGCACCUAAAACUACAUGGCUAGAGCAUUGGAGAGGGUAGCGGAAUUCACGGUGUAGCAGUGAAAUGCGUAGAUAUCGUGAGGAACACCAGAGGCGAAGGCGGCUACCUGGACAAUUGCUGACGCUCAGGCACGAAAGCGUGGGGAGCAAAAGGGAUUAGAUACCCCUGUAGUCCACGCCCUAAACGGUGCACACUAGGUCUUGGCGGAUUCGACCCACCAGGGCCCAAGCUAACGCGUUAAGUGUGCCGCCUGAGGACUACGGUCGCAAGACUA
rnacentral:rRNA from 1 species